rnacentral:rRNA from 1 species
UACAGAGGGUGCGAGCGUUGUCCGGAAUCCCUGGGCGUCAAGGGCGCGUAGGUGGCGCUCCAAGUCCGUGGUGAAAGCUCGAUGCUCAACAUCGAGUCGGCCACGGAGACUGGAGGGCUCGAGCACUGUAGGGGCAGAUGGAAUUCCGGGUGUAGCGGUGGAAUGCGUAGAGAUCCGGAAGAACACCGGUGGCGAAGGCGGUCUGCUGGGCAGUUGCUGACACUGAGGCGCGACAGCGUGGGGAGCAAACAGG